GUUGUGAGUUCUGCAAUCACUGCCCAAGCAUUCACGGAAGAAUCACCGAUUUGGGUGACACAGAGCAAGGACUUACUGUGCCACCUAUUCUACCAAUAGUUGGCACAGGGAUAAAUGGACCGAGUGAAGUGCAACAGCCGUAUCAUCCUGAUUGUUCGAAAGACCACGAGAGAGAAGUUGCCGAAGUGCUGCAAGAGAGUGCACAGCCUGGCUGCUCGAAAG